GGAGAGGUACCCAAGUGGCUGAAGGGGCGGGAUUGCUAAUCCUGUAGGUCGGUAUUUGCCGGCGCGGGGGUUCAAAUCCCCCCCUCUCCGCCA
rnacentral:tRNA from 1 species